rnacentral:rRNA from 1 species
CCUACGGGUGGCAGCAGUGAGGAAUAUUGGUCAAUGGGCUUACGCCUGAACCAGCCAAGUCGCGUGAGGGAAGACUGCCCUAUGGGUUGUAAACCUCUUUUGUCAGGGAGAAAUUUGCGCUACGUGUAGCGUUAUCGAGAGUACCUGAAGAAAAAGCAUCGGCUAACUCCGUGCCAGCCGCCGCGGUAAUACGGAGGAUGCGAGCGUUAUCCGGAUUGAUUGGGUUUAAAGGGUGCGUAGGCGGAAUGCCAAGUCAGCGGUAAAAUCGCGGGGCUCAACCUCGCUCCGCCGUUGAAACUGGCGUUCUUGAGUGGGCGAGAAGUAUGCGGAAUGCGUGGUGUAGCGGUGAAAUGCAUAGAUAUCACGCAGAACUCCGAUUGCGAAGGCAGCAUACCGGCGCCCAACUGACGCUGAAGCACGAAAGCGUGGGUAUCGAACAGGAUUAGAUACCCGUGUAGUC